GACGAACGCUGGCGGCGUGCUUAACACAUGCAAGUCGAACGAAGUGGCGAACGGGAGAGUAACGCGUAAUCAACCUGCCCUUCAGAGGGGGACAACAGUUGGAAACGACUGCUAAUACCGCAUACUGAAGGAGGGGAUUGCGUCUGAUUGGCUAGUUGGAGGGGUAACGGCCCACCAAGGCGAUGAGCAGUAGCCGGUGUGAGAGGAUGACCGGCCACAUUGGGACUGAGACCCUGCCCAGACUCCUACGGGAGGCAGCAGUGGGGAAUCUUCCGCAAUGGACGAAAGUCUGACGGAGCAACGCCGCGUGAGUGAUGACGGCCUUCGGGUUGUAAAGCUCUGUUAAUCGGGACGCGGUACCGGAAUAGAAAGCCACGGCUAACUACGUGCCAGCCGCCGCGGUAAUAC
rnacentral:rRNA from 1 species